rnacentral:lncRNA from 1 species
CUUAUCUACUACUAAAAAGAAAGGUAAUACAUUUAAAUAAGCAAAUACAAAAUACAAAAAAGGCUGACAAAUCCAAUGUGCAGUGUCAGAUGAAAUCUAAAAAAUCCAGAAAUUUAAAAUUUAAUAUUCUUUAGAUUAAGACUUUUAAAAUGAAGCAAAUCCAAGGCAGCAGCAAGCUUCAAAGUGUGCUGAGUCUGCUAAUAAAAAGGGUAUAAGAACAAAGACAGUGCCGGUGUCCUCUCUCACCAUCUUGUGUGACCUUGGUACACUCAGAAAUGAUUCAAUCUUCCUAGCAUUCUUAGUACCGUCCAAAUGCUUUGCAAUCAUGUUGUACUGAUCCUACUCAACUCCUGCCGUAUGGCAUCAAUUAUCUCCUCUUUCACUUUGUGUAACUCUCUUACAACUUCCUCCAAUAUUUCCUGUUUCAUCCGAUCAAAAUCUAAGGCAUCCAUAGCCACAUCAUUGCUGCUGCUUACUGGCUUCAUCCUAGAAGACACGUGGGAUUGUGUGGGGCUCUUAGCUUCACAGCUCUUCACCAUGGAUGGAUUUCUAGACAGUAAUGAAGAUACGGGCUUUUCAACAGAAUUGCUCCUUUCCCAUGGCUUCUUCCCAGAGUCUGAUGAAUUUUGCUGCUGCUGGGUGGGUCCCCGUGUACUGGUUGAAGGAGAGGUGCUAGCAUCAUCAUUUUGGCUUUCCUCUUCCUUUUUGUCACCUGGCUUGUCUGACUGCGACGCUGCUUUCCUCCUUUUUGCCAGUAAUUUAUUCAUUUCUUCCAUUAGUCCUCCGCUGCCUCCUCCACUACUUGUUCGAUUGGCAUCACUCUUAGAGACCCCGCUGGGGCUGGACCCUCCUGAACCAUCUUCUGGCCGCUGAACUCUCCUCAGUUUGGCACCAGCCAGAGCAGCCGCGAGCCCUGACACCGACCCAUCUUCACUGGCAGCCCCUUGGCCGGAGCCGGCUGGCAGCGGGGGUGGUGGUGGGGGAGCGGCUCCCAUGGGGGGCGGAGGGACCGGGGGGGGUGGCGGAGGUGGGGGGCCCCCGGAUGAAGCAGGGAUCACUGAAGCACCGCUGGGAUGGCCGGGUGGGAGAGCUGGGCCUGUGGUAGAAGUUCUUCUUUCCAGAGAUUCUUGGCGCUGUUGCUGCUGCUCCAUCACUUGUCUCCUUUGUGCUUCCAUCUCAUCUGGAGAUGGCCCAUUCUGGACCUGGCGCUGGGCAGCUGGACCUCCAUCUUGUGAAUUCAUUAUAUUCAGAGCAAACAGCAUUGCAUUGGAGAACGUAGUAGCCUCUUCUUUGCUUGCAAAAUUCAAGCCAUAGACUUGCCGUGCAUCGCGCCAUUGAUGAAAGGUAGGUGUUGCUUGAUUGUACUUCAGUCCUUUCACAAUUGAGUAAUUAAUCACUACUUGUUGAUCUUGCAGUUUAACUCCAACAACCCUGAAGGUGUUUGUGGCCGUGUUGUGAUAUAUGUUGAUUCUGCUGAAUCCCUGCUGUCCAGGUUUGAUUGGCACCCAUUUCUUACUGGUAUCGUCAUAGACCAUAACUGAAGCCCGGGCUUGGCAAAUACUCUGUUCACUCAUCUUCCCGGCGGCGGCUGCCGGGGCCCGGGGGCGGCGUGGAGCGGGGACUCCUCCGGGCGCCGCCCCACUCGCAGCGCCGGGCCCCGCGGCGCUACCCGGGCAGCGCGGCGGCGGGCAGCCCCUCCGCCGGCCCGGCCAUGUUGCCGGCUCCCGCCCGGCUGCGCUGCGUGUGAGAGAGCGCGUGUGGGCAGGACAAAG